rnacentral:rRNA from 12 species
CACUCUAAGCGGUGAUCACUUGGAUCAUGGGCAGAAAGAACGCAAGCAAACGUGCCUAUUCGGUGAACUGCAGACACAUACACGACAUUUUGAACGCAUUUCGCAGUCCAUGCGUAUGUACUUUAAUUAAUUUUAAAUUGUGCUUGGACUACAUAUGGGUGAGGGUUG